UUUACAGAACAAAUAAGAUAAAUGCCCUUCCCCGUAGAGAUUGCAAGCUAAAUUUUUUCACAUGUGAGAGCAGCAACUGGAAGAGACAUCCAUGGAGAAGAAAUAGAUACACGAGGAGACCUUUGCAAUCUUCUCCAUUCCUUGAGACAUCGAGAAAUGCGGUGCCCAUGUGGUUACGUGCCACAAGGCGGUUGUGUCUCUGCAGCUUCUCUCAUUAAUCAUGUUGGUAUACAUCUACCCCUGGGGGGUCUGAUGGUGUGAACAGCUCCUGGAAACCAGAAGCACAUGGGACAAGGGCCAGGUCCCAGUUAGAGGUUAGCAGUCAAUGUUAGCCUAAUAUUAGAAUCUUGCUGGAUUCAUCCUAAGAUGAAUACGGAGUGCUUUCCUGGAAAAUGCUUUUUAUCCAGGGAGUGCUGUUCUCAAUGUAGAGGUAUUGAGGAGAAAUUUAACGGCUGGUAUACACAUUAUCAGAUGAUCUCUCCUGGCCUUAUCCCAUAUAAUUUAAAAUGCAGUCAGUUAAAGUUCAGAGCUGCUGCAGGUGCUACAAAAGCUUUCUGAUAGUUUUGACUUUUAAUCACAGAUCUCUCAAGUAUUUUCUACCAGACUGCUGUGUUGUGAAAGAGGGUAAGAAAUUGGCCAACCACAAGAAGGCAAAGGGAUGAAGGUAGUCUGUAUCUAAAAUUGUCAUAUGGACAAUGUAAAUAAUCUCAUAUCCCCUGUGUCCAGAAAUUUCGCUAAUUUCUCUAUGGUAUACAGCAUUAUUUGUAAAAAUGGUGAAGAUGCUUAGGUAGAAGUUAUACAUUUCUUUUAAGUUGAGGGUAGCUCUCCAAUCAGCAGUCCUAACUAGGCUAUUAGUUACAACAAUGUGUAAUCGUUUCAAGGCUCUUUGAGCAAGAUGUAGUGGGUGUUUGAUCUUGUAAUUAACCUGCUGCCAUUGGCCAUGCAUUCUCUCCACCCUGUAAUUACUUGUCUAAAAAAUAACACCAUUCAAACCAUACAUUGUACAGAAAAUUAAAAGAGCAUUAAUUUUAA